UGGACCAGUGAUGGGGACUGGUGACGUAUGAGUCAUUUAUGAUGAAUAGUGUGUGUCUGGAAGUCAGAGGUCCAA
ensembl:snoRNA SNORD114-2 small nucleolar RNA, C/D box 114-2